AAAAUACUCCCUCCGUUCCGAAUUACUUGUCUUGGAUUUGUCUAGAUACUGAUGUAUCUAGACUCAUUUUAGUGCUAGAUACCUCCGUAUCUAGACAAAUCUAAGACAAGUAAUUCGGAACAGAGGGAGUAAGAG
rfam:Triticum aestivum genome assembly, contig: Triticum_aestivum_CS42_TGACv1_scaffold_194531_3AL